CCUAGGAUAGUCGUUAAAUUAUUUAUUUAUUUUUUAUUUAUUUUUUCCCUUGGGUUGUGCGGCUAAACGGGUUGUCGCUCUUUUCGGUUCUUCUUUUUCGAAGGAAAUUUUCGCUACCGGUUGAGCUCUAGUAUCGCCUUUUGAUAGUUCUCCUGCUUGCCGAGAUUGAUGUCGAUAAGAUAGCUCGGAGAGAAGACUGAAGUUCUGUCUCUUUAGUGUCUCGUGCAUUGUUUUCUGCAGCCGAGGACGAUUUUGAAGCAUUUCUGGCAGUCAUGUCAUACUACUGCUCCAAAAUUCCGCAGUAAGGAUUGGGGAUUAGCUACGAUUGCCAAAAUUACCGCAAGCGGUCGACAGGAUAAUACAGUACAAUUCUCGGUCGAGGAUAUUCAAAUGGUCUGGGUCUCUUAAAUUGUAUCGGCGUUUCAAGUAAGCUGAAAUCUUUCAGGUGGGCCCGAUAAGAAGUGCUUUAACAAAAGAUAUUACUUACGCAAGUAAGGCUGUCAGUUCACGUUCAAUAAGCAGCGCGGGAACAAACUUCGACACGAAGAGCAUUUCUUGAA